GCUUCCCUCUUUCUUCGUGCCUAAUACAUGCAAGUCGAGCGAACAGACGAGGAGCUUGCUCCUCUGACGUUAGCGGCGGACGGGUGAGUAACACGUGGAUAACCUACCUAUAAGACUGGGAUAACUUCGGGAAACCGGAGCUAAUACCGGAUAAUAUAUUGAACCGCAUGGUUCAAUAGUGAAAGACGGUUUUGCUGUCACUUAUAGAUGGAUCCGCGCCGCAUUAGCUAGUUGGUAAGGUAACGGCUUACCAAGGCAACGAUGCGUAGCCGACCUGAGAGGGUGAUCGGCCACACUGGAACUGAGACACGGUCCAGACUCCUACGGGAGGCAGCAGUAGGGAAUCUUCCGCAAUGGGCGAAAGCUUGACGGAGCAACGCCGCGUGAGUGAUGAAGGUCUUCGGAUCGUAAAACUCUGUUAUUAGGGAAGAACAAAUGUGUAAGUAACUAUGCACGUCUUGACGGUACCUAAUCAGAAAGCCACGGCUAACUACGUG
rnacentral:rRNA from 1 species